GGAGGAAAAGAAACCAACCGGGAUUGCCCUAGUAACGGCGAGUGAAGCGGCAAGAGCUCAAAUUUGAAAGCUGGCUCCUUCGGGGUCCGCAUUGUAAUUUGCAGAGGAUGCUUCGGAAUCGGCCCCCAUCUAAGUGCCCUGGAACGGGCCGUCAUAGAGGGUGAGAAUCCCGUCUGGGAUGGGGUGUCCGUGCCCGUGUGAAGCUCCUUCGACGAGUCGAGUUGUUUGGGAAUGCAGCUCUAAUUGGGUGGUAAAUUUCAUCUAAAGCUAAAUAUUGGCCGGAGACCGAUAGCGCACAAGUAGAGUGAUCGAAAGAUGAAAAGCACUUUGAAAAGAGAGUUAAAAAGCACGUGAAAUUGUUGAAAGGGAAGCGCUUGCGACCAGACUCGCCCGCGGGGUUCAGCCGGCAUUCGUGCCGGUGUACUUCCCCGCGGGCGGGCCAGCGUCGGUUUGGGCGGCCGGUCAAAGGCCCCUGGAAUGUAACGCCUCUCGGGGCGUCUUAUAGCCAGGGGUGCCAUGCGGCCUGCCCGGACCGAGGAACGCGCUUCGGCUCGGACGCUGGCAUAAUGGUCGUAAGCGACCCGUCUUGA
rnacentral:rRNA from 1 species